rnacentral:lncRNA from 1 species
AGAUGUGGAAUUUUUAUUUUUGAAUCAUAUGAACUCGUCAUUCCCACAGAUGACCGACCAGCAGGGCGGUGCUGCUGCAGGGAGGCGGAACAGCUGCCCACAGGUGUGGAUUUUCAUUGCGGUGAUAAAAGGCAAGAAACCGGGCAGCGAUGGAGAACUGCAUGUCAUCGCCCAUCUCACCAGGGAGUGGAAGAAAGCCCCCUUCAGAAUAUCUGAAGAGCAGUGUCCAUCCUAAAUUUAGCUUCGAUAAUAAUCUCUAGGAUGUAGGAUGUAGGAUGGCAUUGCAUUGCAAGAGCUGAACAGAUUUUAUAAAGGCGAUAUUACUAUUAUUGGGAUACUUUUCAUCUGUCAACCUGUAACAUCUACUUUCUGCGAUUCUGUGAUGUUAACAGUGAACUACAGCGCCAGUCUGUUGAGACUGGAGAAGCUAGCUGGAGUCUAGUGUCCUUCAUCAGCACAUUAAUGAAUAACCUCCACCACAGAACUGCCAGAGGGGUCCUUCUGAUAGCAGCAGUUUGGCCUCGGUGGACAGACAGCCUGCCUGCUGUGACAGACGCCUUACCCUCAGUCUGGCUCCGGAGACUGAAUUGUGCAGAUUUAUACGGAGAUACGCUUGUGUCUUCCUUUCGUGUAGUGCCGUCAUAAAAUCAUUUUAAAAGGUCACUUAUUAGAAUGCACAACCUUUUGUGGCUGUUCUUCAUCUGAACGAGCUG